AUGUGUCGCUUAGGCAGCAUAUAUACUAAAAUUGGAACGACCACAGAGAAGAUUAGCAUGGUCCCUGCGCAAGGAUGACAUGCAAAUUCAUGAAGCAUUCCAUAUUUUU